UUAAAACAAGCUUUUAAGAGCAGAUGGCGGAUGCCUUGCCAAAGAGAGGCGAUGAAGGACGUACUAGACUGCGAUAAGCUAUGCGGAGCUGUCAAGGAGCUUUGAUGCGUAGAUGUCCGAAUGGGGCAACCCAACUAAUAGAGAUAUUAGUUACUCUAAUUUAGAGAGCGAACCUAGUGAAGUGAAACAUCUCAGUAACUAGAGGAAAAGAAAUCAACGAGAUUCCCUAAGUAGUGGCGAGCGAACGGGGAAAAGGGCAAACCGAGUGCUUGCAUUCGGGGUUGAGGACUGCAACGUCCAAGAGAACGCUUUAGCAGAGUUACCUGGAAAGGUAAGCCAUAGAAAGUGAUAGCCUUGUAUGCGACAAGGCGUUCUUAGGUAGCAGGAUCCAGAGUAGGCCAGGACACGAGAAAUCCAGGUUGAAGCUGGGGAGACCACUCUCCAACCCUAAAUACUACUCUUUGAGCGAUAGCGAACAAGUACCGUGAGGGAAAGGUGAAAAGAACCGCAGUGAGCGGAGUGAAAUAGAACCUGAAACCAUCUGCUUACAAUCAUUCAGAGCCCUAUGAUUUAUCAGGGUGAUGGACUGCCUUUUGCAUAAUGAUCCUGCGAGUUGUGGUAUCUGGCAAGGUUAAGCGGAUGCGAAGCCGUAGCGAAAGCGAGUCUUAAUAGGGCGAUUAAGUCAGAUGCUGCAGACCCGAAGCUAAGUGAUCUAUCCAUGGCCAAGUUGAAACGCGUGUAAUAGCGCGUGGAGGACUGAACUCGUACCCAUUGAAACGGGUUGGGAUGAGCUGUGGAUAGGGGUGAAAGGCCAAACAAACUUAGUGAUAGCUGGUUCUCUUCGAAAUAUAUUUAGGUAUAGCCUCAAGUGAUAAUAAAAGGGGGUAGAGCCCUGAUUGGGCUAGGGCUGCUCGCCGCGGUACCAAACCCUAUCAAACUUCAAAUACCUUUUAUCGUAUCUUGGGAGUCAGGCGGUGGGUGAUAAAAUCAAUCGUCAAAAGGGGAACAACCCAGACUACCAAAUAAGGUCCCUAAGUUCUAUUCUGAGUGGAAAAAGAUGUGUGGCUACUCAAACAACCAGGAGGUUGGCUUAGAAGCAGCCAUCCUUUAAAGAAAGCGUAACAGCUCACUGGUCUAGUGGUCAUGCGCUGAAAAUAUAACGGGGCUAAGAUAGACACCGAAUUUGUAGAUUGUGUUAAACACAGUGGUAGAAGAGCGUUCAUACCAGCGUUGAAGGUAUACCGGUAAGGAGUGCUGGAGCGGUAUGAAGUGAGCAUGCAGGAAUGAGUAACGAUAAGAUAUAUGAGAAUUGUAUCCGCCGUAAAUCUAAGGUUUCCUACGCGAUGGUCGUCAUCGUAGGGUUAGUCGGGUCCUAAGCCGAGUCCGAAAGGGGUAGGUGAUGGCAAAUUGGUUAAUAUUCCAAUACCGACUAUGGAGCGUGAUGGGGGGACGCAUAGGGUUAAGCGAGCUAGCUGAUGGAAGCGCUAGUCUAAGGGCGUAGAUUGGAGGGAAGGCAAAUCCACCUCUGUAUUUGAAACCCAAACAGGCUCUUUGAGUCCUUUUAGGACAAAGGGAGAAUCGCUGAUACCGUCGUGCCAAGAAAAGCCUCUAAGCAUAUCCAUAGUCGUCCGUACCGCAAACCGACACAGGUAGAUGAGAUGAGUAUUCUAAGGCGCGUGAAAGAACUCUGGUUAAGGAACUCUGCAAACUAGCACCGUAAGUUCGCGAUAAGGUGUGCCGCAGCAAUGCGGUCUCAGCAAAGAGUCCCUCCCGACUGUUUACCAAAAACACAGCACUUUGCCAACUCGUAAGAGGAAGUAUAAGGUGUGACGCCUGCCCGGUGCUCGAAGGUUAAGAGGAUGCGUCAGUCGCAAGAUGAAGCGUUGAAUUGAAGCCCGAGUAAACGGCGGCCGUAACUAUAACGGUCCUAAGGUAGCGAAAUUCCUUGUCGGUUAAAUACCGACCUGCAUGAAUGGCGUAACGAGAUGGGAGCUGUCUCAACCAGAGAUUCAGUGAAAUUGUAGUGGAGGUGAAAAUUCCUCCUACCCGCGGCAAGACGGAAAGACCCCGUGGACCUUUACUACAACUUAGCACUGCUAACGGGAAUAUCAUGCGCAGGAUAGGUGGGAGGCUUUGAAGUAAGGGCUUUGGCUCUUAUGGAGCCAUCCUUGAGAUACCACCCUUGAUGUUUCUGUUAGCUAACUGGCCUGUGUUAUCCACGGGCAGGACAAUGCUUGGUGGGUAGUUUGACUGGGGCGGUCGCCUCCUAAAAAGUAACGGAGGCUUGCAAAGGUUGGCUCAUUGCGGUUGGAAAUCGCAAGUUGAGUGUAAUGGCACAAGCCAGCCUGACUGUAAGAC
rnacentral:rRNA from 1 species